AGGAGGCACAACCCCAGUGGCUGCGGCAGCUCUGGAGUCCUGGAUUCAGCUCCCGCAGGAACUACUGUCUGCAGGGCCUGGAGGCUCCGGGGCGGG
rfam:Canis lupus familiaris chromosome 4, whole genome shotgun sequence.